rnacentral:rRNA from 1 species
CCUACGGGGGGCUGCAGUGGGGAAUAUUGCACAAUGGGCGCAAGCCUGAUGCAGCCAUGCCGCGUGUGUGAAGAAGGCCUUCGGGUUGUAAAGCACUUUCGGCGGGGAGGAAGGCGUUAAGGUUAAUAACCUUGUCGAUUGACGUUACCCGCAGAAGAAGCACCGGCUAACUCCGUGCCAGCAGCCGCGGUAAUACGGAGGGUGCAAGCGUUAAUCGGAAUUACUGGGCGUAAAGCGCACGCAGGCGGUCUGUCAAGUCGGAUGUGAAAUCCCCGGGCUCAACCUGGGAACUGCAUUCGAAACUGGCAGGCUAGAGUCUUGUAGAGGGGGGUAGAAUUCCAGGUGUAGCGGUGAAAUGCGUAGAGAUCUGGAGGAAUACCGGUGGCGAAGGCGGCCCCCUGGACAAAGACUGACGCUCAGGUGCGAAAGCGUGGGGAGCAAACAGGAUUAGAUACCCUUGUAGUC